AGUGAACGCUGGCGGUAUGCCUAACACAUGCAAGUCGAACGGCAGCACAGUAAGAGCUUGCUCUUACGGGUGGCGAGUGGCGGACGGGUGAGGAAUACAUCGGAAUCUACUUUUUCGUGGGGGAUAACGUAGGGAAACUUACGCUAAUACCGCAUACGACCUACGGGUGAAAGCAGGGGAUCUUCGGACCUUGCGCGAUUGAAUGAGCCGAUGUCGGAUUAGCUAGUUGGCGGGGUAAAGGCCCACCAAGGCGACGAUCCGUAGCUGGUCUGAGAGGAUGAUCAGCCACACUGGAACUGAGACACGGUCCAGACUACUACGGGAGGCAGCAGUGGGGAAUAUUGGACAAUGGGCGCAAGCCUGAUCCAGCCAUACCGCGUGGGUGAAGAAGGCCUUCGGGUUGUAAAGCCGUUUUGUUGGGAAAGAAAAGCAGCAGGUUAAUACGCCGCUGUUCUGACGGUACCCAAAGAAUAAGCACCGGCUAACUUCGUG
rnacentral:rRNA from 1 species